ensembl:lncRNA
AGUAUAUACUGGGGGCUGAGUCUAUAUGUAGUAUAUACUGGGGCUGAGUCUAUAUGUAGUAUAUACUGGGGGCUGAGUCUAUAUGUAGUAUAUACUGGGGGCUGAGUCUAUAUGUAGUAUAUACUGGGGCUGAUCUAUAUGUAGUAUAUACUGGGGGCUGAGUCGAUAUGUAGUAUAUAUGUAGUAUAUACUGGGGGCUGAGUCUAUAUGUAGUAUAUACUGGGGGCUGAGUCUAUGUAUCUAUAUGUAGUAUAUACUGGGGGCUGAGUCUAUAUAUAGUAUGUACUGGGGGCUGAGUCUAUAUGUAGUAUGUACUGGGGCUCAAUGUCCCAAAUGGUGCACUAUUCCCUCUAUAGUGUACUACUUUCGGCGAUGGGCCCUAUUCUGUAGUGCACUACAUUUGACCAUGGGCCCUAUUCUGUAGUGCACUACUUUCGACUAUGGGCCCUAUGGGCUAUUCUAUUGAAUACAAAAUAAGUCCAUAGACUCCAGUAGAAUUCAGUUGUGGAUAUGUUUUAUACCUGAUUAAACUCAGUAGAAGGGCUGGUUUGUAAUUGACAUAAAAUGUAUUGUUAUGUCAUGAUCUGGAUGGAACCUGUGUUUUUUUAAAUUUUGUUCUGUUCCGGAACAGUAUAGAUCCCUUUCGUUGUCAGUUCUGGUUCUGUUCCUUGAAAUUCCGUUUUUCUUUUCUGUUCCCUGAACUGGUUCCAACCCCUGGUUUAGAAUAUUGUAAAGUAUCCAUUAAUUAAAUAAUAAAUGCUAACAAACUGUAAUCUUCUUCUUCAUUGAAGGUGGAUGAUGUUGGUAGAUUGUCUUUGUCCAUGAAAAGUCAG